GACAUUAUUUCAAAAUUUUGAUGUAAAUUUUUAAUAUUUAAUAUUUAAUUUGAAUUUUAAUUAAUAUAUUAUAAAGAUAAUGUUAGUAUAUUAAUUUGAUUACAAUUUUUAUAUUCACCUGAACCAAACACCGAUAAUGGGAAUGAUUUAUUCCGAUUCCGAUUCAGGUGAUAAACCAAACAGAAUUAGGUAAUGAGUCAUUUCGAUUUCGAUUCCUGCUUAUUUUGAUUCCGAUUCCAAUUUCGAUUCCGACUACAAACCAAACAUGCCCUUAAAGUCUUUGACUCAGGCCACUAGCAACAAUAACUCGUUGGGCCCAACCACCAGCCCAAAAUGCUUAAACCCAGUUAUUAUUGUUUGCGUCUAAGUCUCUUAUAUACCUAAUCACAUCUCCAUUCCUAUCCAAUAUGGGAUUAUUGGGGUGUGUCACACACACAGCCCAAGAUCACCAGGCGAUGUGAGACUCGUCUCGCUAACCUUAUCAUCUAAACCCUAGCAUAGCAGGCCACCUUGUCAUUCACACUCCAGCAUAGCCUGCAUAGCCUAUCACUUUGUCUUUCAGACCCUGGCUCAAUCGAAACUCGUCACACAUUUCCGGCUGGUGAACUGGCUCUGAUACCAAAUGUAACGGCUCAGCCCACUAGCAAUAAUAACUCAUUGAGCCCAAACACCGGCCCAAAAUAUUUAAGUGCAGUUAUUAUUACUAGUGUCUAAAUCUCUUAUAUACCCAAUCACAUCCUCAUUGCUAUUCGAUAUGGGAUUAUUGGGGUGUAACAAAUUAGCAAAAAAAAUUUUGCAAAAAAUUUAUAGGAGUAUGUUUUUUUUUUUUUUUUUUUUUUUUUUUUUUUUUUUUUGUCACGAACACCGCCAUCUUGAUGAACUAUAGUAAGGCUAAAAUCGCUAUUAAAUUCAAAUAUUAGAGGCUUUGAAUAGCAAAUUUUGUGCAAAAAAUUUAUAGGGGUAUGUAUAUAUUUUUAAAAAAUUAUAUUUUUCUUUUUUGCUGUCACGAGCAGCAUUAUUUUGGUGAAAUACAGUAAGGCUAAAAUAGCUAUUAAAUUCAAAUAUUAAACUCUUUGAUUAGCAAAAAAUUUUUUGCAAAAAAUUUAUAGGAGUAUGUAUUUUUUAUUUUUUUAUUUUUUGUCACAAACAACGCCAUUUUGAUGAACUAUAUAAGGCUAAAAUCGCUAUUAAAUUCAAAUAUUAGAGGCUUUGAGUAGCAAAAAUUAUUUUUUUGCUGAAUUUUUUUUUCCUUUUUUGUUGUAAAAAACAAUACUAUUUUUGUGAACUAUAGUAGGGCUAAAAUAGCUAUUCUUAGUCUCUUUGAGUAGCAAAAUUUUUUUUGCAAAAAUAGGUGUAUUUAUUUUUUUAAAAAUUACUUUUUUAUUGUCACAAACAGUACCAUUUUGGUUAACUAUAGUAAGACUAAAAUAGCUUUUAAAUUCAAAUAUUAGAGUCUUUGAGUAACAAAAAUUCUUUUGCAAAACAUUUAUCGGAGUAUGUAUAUUUUUUUAAAAAUUUCUUUUUUCCUUUUUAUUGUCCUAUAGUAAGUCUAAAAUAACUAUUAAAUUUAAAUAUUACAGUCAUUGAGUAGCAAAAAUUUUUGUGCAAAAUAUUUAUAGGAGUUUGUAUAUUGUUUUUGAAAUUUUUUUUUUUUUUUUUGUUAUCGGGAGCAACAUCAUUUUGGUGAACUAUAGUAAGGCUCAAAUAGCUAUUAACUUCAAAUAUUAGAGUCUUUGAUUAGCAAAAAAAAUUUUGCAAAAAAUUUAUAGGAGUAUGUAUAUUUUUUAAAAAAAUUAUUUUUUUUCUUUUUUGUUGUUACGAAUAGCAUCAUUUUGGUGAACUAUAGUAAGAUUAAAUAGCUAUUAAAUUCAAAUAUUUGAGUCUUUGAGUAGCAAAAAUUAUUUUUUUGCAAAAUUUUUUUUUCUUUUUUGUUGUCAUGAAUAGCAUCAUUUUGAUGAACUAUUGUAAGGCUAAAACCUAAAAGGGCUAUUAAAUUCAAAUAUUAGAGUCUUUGAGUAGCAAAAAUAUUUUCGCAAAAAAUGUAUAGAAGUAUUUAUAUUUUAAUUUUUUUUUUCCUUUUUUAUUGUCACGAACAACACCAUUUUGAUGAACUAUAAGACUAAAAUAGCUAUUAAAUUUAAAUAUUAGUGUCUUUGAGUAGUACAAAAAAAAAUUAAAAAAAAUUAUAGGAUUUUGUAUGUUUUUUGAAAAAAGAAAAAUUGUAGGAAUGAACCAGUAAUGGACUACAUUUUAUUAUUUUAAUAGACUAAAUCAGAUAUUUUGUUAAAUACAAUAAUGAGUCUACUAAAUUGAUGGUUCUAAGUAGUCUUAUAAACUAAUGGAAUUAGUAAUUGAUUUUUAUCAGCCAAUCACUGCUGUAGUCGUUAAUUAUAAUAAAUUCUCAAAUUACCUUAAAAAAAUAACUUAAAUAAAUAUAACAAAAAUUCUGGAAAAAAAUUUAGAUUGGGGGGCUAAUUAUCAAAUGCAAAAAUAAAUAAAUAAAUAAAUAAAUAAUAAAAAUGAAAACAAAAAAGAGAGCCAAAAAAAAUUAAAAACAGAAACAAAUAUUACAAAGUAAAAUUCAUGGGACCUUUUUUUUUUAAGUGACCCAAACAAAUUAUCAGCACCAACACUACAAAAACCUAUUUCCCUCCCAGAAAUUACUUGUUACAAUCAAAGCUACAGUGAAAAGACCAAAAAAAAAAUCUCAAUAUAUAUAUAUAUAUAUAUAUAUAAAGAAAAAACAAAUUAAACAUCUGCGAAAUCAGAUGCAGAGUCAAUCGAUUCCUCUCUGCGGUGUUCUGACGCCGAAGACUGAACGUCUGACGGACUCUUCCUAUGAUGCUUUCGGAUUUGGCUUUCUUUGAUGACGCGGGAGAGUGCUUGGACGACAUCGCGCAUUGAAGGCCGUUUCCGUGAAACUUUACUCACACAUUUGUAUGCGACUGCUGCAAUGUCGUUGAGCUCGUCGACAUCGAAUGCACCGUCCAGUCGGGAAUCCACGAUUUCCUCCCACCCGACUUGUCCAUCGGCAUUUAUUGCAGCCUAGUUUCACAGGUUACCAUCAGCAAACAGUUCCGUAUAUUGAAAUGUCGGAUUCAUUUCAAGCUUAGCUCCUGAAGUUUUGACCUUUAUUUCGCCAUCGACAUUAUAGCUUCAAUUGUAACAAUCUAGUCCCUGAUAACAGUUAAGUCCUAUUAAUCUAUCAUCUUAAAAGUGUGCCAAAUCAGGACUACAUUUGUUAAAUUUUGUGUUAUAGGAGCAAAACUAAAAUAUGGUCGAAGUUCGGAGCAAACUUUUAAAGUGAAAGAUUGUGGACUAAAUUGAAAUCAAAUCAAACUUCAGAGAUAAGAUUGUUACAACUGCAACUCGAAGUCGAAAUUGAAUUUUGGAUCAAACUUCAAGGACCGAACACUUGUAAUCAGACUUCUCUCGAAAAAAAAAAAAAAAAACACUUGUAAUCAGACAAGUUGAGAGCUACGAUGAUUGCAGGAACAAGACUUGUUUAGUGAAUUAUGAGAUUUUGUGGAUUUAUAGAAUGGAUUUAUAGAAAGCCAGUUCAUGAUAAUUCAGUUUUGUGAUCAGUUUUACGUGGAAGAACGAGUUAUUGUUGCGACUUAAAGUUAAUCAUCCUGAAUGGCAAUCUAAUUAAAAAUAAACCAAGCGAGAUGCGCUCGUUUGAAUAAUAAGUUUUCUCCUUUCAACCAUAUCGUAAGCUCCUAAACAAGUAGUACUAAACGUUUUCUAACCAACUUUCAACAUGCUAAAUUGCCCUUCUUUUACCAAGUUCCAUACCACUAAUAUAAAUUGCUAGCUAAAAAGAUAAACUGAAUAGAUAAAAGUAAAAAAAAUGAAAAUGUGAAGGGAAGAAGUUCUUACCAGCUCGACAUAUUCCAUGAGACCCUGUUGUGGGUUUCUACCAGCAAUCAAUUCGAAAAGCAAAACGCCGUAGCUGUACACAUCACUCUUCUUUGUGAAUGACCUUGAUGAUACAUACUCGGGGUCGAGAUAGCCAUAAGUCCCCCUAAUAUUAGAUGCACCACGAGUAACCAUUUCCUCUCUCGAUAGGCCAAAGUCAGCAACCUAAGCCAUAGAUAAAAAAAUAUAUAUUCUCAUUACAUAAAAUAAAUCUUGCUGAGAAAGAGAUGAUAAUUAUCAACAACAUUACUCGAGAGAAAAAAAAAAAAAAAAGGAUAACAGAUGAAACAGAAAAAAGAAAAAUAUAUUGCAUUUCAUUCUGUUUAUGGGAAAGGAGGAAUGGUAAACAGAAUGUCAUUGACGCAUAAUUUAUCAUUGCAAUUCAGUAAGACAAAACAAUAAAUGAGUAAUCAUUCCACAAAUUAUGAGAUAAUUGAUUUAGAAUAUGUAGGUUUGGCAUUGUCUGAACUCAUACUGCAAAAUCCUGAUAAAACAAUUCUAGUACCCUACUGCCAUUGAUACUUUUAGCAUGCAAAACAAUCAAAAAAAAAAAGUGAAACAUUUUUUUUGCAGUGAAGUUCUAAGGAGAAAUGAUAACUUCUUUGAGCCAAUUAUCUGAUACUAGAAAGGGUGAAAGGGUAACAUACUCUAGCUCUCAUGGAAUGAUCCAACAAUAUAUUUGCAGAUUUGAUGUCACGAUGCACUACUGGUGGGGUAGCCUGCAUUAAAGGAUAAGACAACAAACAGAAAUUAAAUUAAAUUAAAUUGAAAGAACUACAUUAAGUUAGACUGACCAAAUAAGCAAUAUGAGAUCUUACUCCAUCAUGAAGGUACUCCAAACCUCUUGCGACAUCCAGAGCUAUACGGACCCUCAGAUCCCAGCUCAACGGUUUACGAUUUUCACCUGAAUCAUUAAUACAUAUGUCAGUGACACAAUAAAGAACAAAAGCCUAGUUCUAGAAUUCACUCAUCUGCUAUAUACCUUGAGACGCCAUCAUUCAUUCAUAAAUUAUCUAUUACAGAUUGUUGAUUCUAUUGCAGAUCUGUUAUCACUCUUAGGGCUUGUUUGGUUCAAGGGUGGAAUUGAAAUGGAUAAUGGAAUGGGAAUGAAUUAGAAUGGUAAUUGAAAUGGCCCACUGCCCCAAGACGUUUGGUUUAUUUGUGGAUUAGGAAUUGGAAUGAGUUAUUCACAUUUCAUUGUUUGGUUCGUAUAAACUAAAAAAAUUAUAGGAUACUAUAAUACUAAUUUUACUCUCAAAUAUAAAUUUAUAUUAUUUAAAAUUUAUGAAAAAUAUAAUACUAUUCUCUAAUAAGUUUUCCAAAAAAAAUAUCAAAUUUAUUUUUAAAAACUUUUAUUGAUGUGGGUUAGGAAUAGGAUUUUGAGAGAUGAUAGGUUUUUUUUUUUAUUUUUUUUCUGAUGAGAAAAGGGUGAAGAGAAGGAAGGUGAGAUGGUCACAUGGGCUUCGAGAACUUAGUGGGCUUCCGGAAUGAAAUCUCAAUCCAGGCUAGAAGACCGGAAUCAAGUUGAAGGCUAAUCGGCCAUUUCCAUUCCAGUUCGGAAUAAGAAUCCCAAACCGAUUCAUGCAAACCAAACAAAAUUAACCGGAUUUGAUCAAACCGAUUCCCAUUCCAUACCCAAAAUGGAUGAACCAAACAAGCCCUUAAUGUCAAAAUACAGAAGAAAUACAAGCCGCCUUGUCAAACAUUUAGCGCUCUCUCUCUCUCUCUCUCUCUCUCUCUCUCUCUCUCUCUCUCUUUCAAAUAUGUUUGUCUGAGACAUACAGUCAAAUCUUUGCAAGAUGCAGUACAGUGUUCAACAUAACAUUCAGAUAUAAAAAAAUGAAAAAGAAAAAAAAAAUGCAACCAACACAUACCAUACAAGUGAGAAGCAAGGCUCCCAUUAGUCAUGUAGACAUAUAAUAGAAUAUGUUGCCCUUUUUCAGCACAAUAGCCCACCAAAUUUACAAGAUUCCUGUGAUGUAAUCUUCCCAGAAGUAGGACCCAAAAAAAACCAAGAAUAUUUAUAGAGAAGACUCGCAAAAAUUUAAACCUAGCUAAAUAGAUACUUAAAAUUAAGGUUUAAUGCAAUAAACCUCCGUUUGGAACUCUUUCUCGCCUUGCUUAGAAUUAUUGGCAAGCACUUUAACUGCCAGUAUCUCGCCAGUAGACAAGUGAGCGUUAUAAACUGAACCAAAUGCUCCUUGACCGAUCAGCGUCGUAAAAUUGCUGGUUGCUUUCUGCAAAUCCCUGAUAGUGAAGACUCAUUAAUGAUGCAGAUUGCCGGUUCGAGAACUCAAACCAGAACGAGAUAAAGUUAAGAAUCACAUAAAAAAAGGUAUAGGAGUGUAGUAGUUUAGUAACGAUCAGAUUUUAGAAUAUAACCAAGCAACUUGAAAUCAGAUUAUGAAUACUAAAGCAUUAUCCUCCAAUUAAUAUAUUGUCUGACUGUCCCAAAAGUGUUACGUAAUAAACAGAGAAGAAUCAUCAGAUAUCUUCGAAGAUAUCCGACAAACACAAAUUUUCUGGUUUCUCCAUUUUCCUUGAAUACUUGUUCCCUUUUUUUUUCCCCUGACUGCAGCCGCUAAACCAUGUUUCUCUAAUCCUUCUCUAAAUAUUCUAAUGGUCUUACAUAUGGAAAAAGCUGGAUAUGCUAACCAAUAAAGUAUGAUUUCUCGAACCAGGUAGACAAUAAACUGAGUUUGGCUGAUAUGCUAAGACUUCAGAAAAUGGAGAAAAACUUGUAAAUAGAAAAGGUUACCUUGAAAUUGUAAAGAAAGCUAUAACAGCAUAAGCAAUCAAUAAAUAUAAACUUAACUAAUGUAAUAUAGCAAGAACAGGCGAAAUUGCCGAUCAUACUUAUACGAAUAUUUGGGUAUCCCAGAAACUGAGACUGCAUUCUUCCUCUUGGGUCCUUCGAGAAAAAGAGACGAUCCCCGUUCUUCGUCAGCAACCCUCGGCGAAUCUGGACGGUUGGUUGAGCCCGAAACCUCCGAACAGUUAUCGAAGCCAUUAGCGCGAAUCGGAAUCAUCGAAGCCCUCCGCGCGCUGCUACUCCCAAUCUGCUGCCGCCUUUUAUGGAAGCUAAUGCAGAGCACUGCAAUGAUAGCCAAAAGUACCCCUAUAACUACCCCAAUUGUGACCCCUAUGAUCAAACUCCAUGACACUCCUUUCAUUUCCUUAAUGAACCCUCAAUUGUAGCAUUUAUGUAGUAUUUGUAUCCACCCCAUUAAAAUCCCUGCACAAAUAGAACCACAACCUGAUUUAAUAAGCCAAAACAGUGACCUUGCAACCUUUUUUUUUUUUGGUUUUUUGGUCUAUUUUGAACGGAUUAGAAGUGUAGAGACCACAAAUUUGGAUCUUUAGUACAAAAGGGUCGAGCUGUAGUUCACAACAAAAAAAUCGCAGUUCAUGACAAUGACACCAAUUUGUCAUUUUGAAAACAACGUGAUGGAUAUCACCCUUCGUAACAACGCAUUACCGUGCCUUCUCAGAUCAAAGAUCGUAUAUUUAACUAAAAAUAAGUACAAUUCAGUAGCUUCUUUUCGCAUCAACACCAUCAAAAUCUCAAGUUUCAGCAGUUUCAACUUAAAAUUGGGACAAAUUACAGCACACAAUCAUAAAUUCCGUCGUUAAAAUAGAGUGAUAUAACGCCACAAGCAAUAGUAAAAAACCAAAAAAAAAAAAAAAAAANACAAAAUCAAAUGAAGAACAUAGAACUCGACGAUCCACAAAUAGGCGACCUCAACUGGAAGUUGCGAUCCCCGAAAAUGGGAGACGAAACGCUUCCCAAAAACCCUAAAAUUCAGUAACCGAAACUCCGAAUUAAACAAAUUUAAAGCGACUCCACGAAAAAAUAGGAGGGAUCAAAAACAAGGACAAAAUCCAGCGAUGUGGAUAUCCCACCUCUUCGAUUCCAAAACGCAAUGGCGAAUGCGAUGGAUCUUUUUCUCUUUUUCUCUUUUUCCCCCCUCUUUUUCGCGAAAUAUCUGAGUAGUCGCAUUGUGUAUAGAGGAGUGGGGGACGAAGACGACGACUUAACUAUUUUAUAAAAUAGAAAAAUUGGAGGGGUGAAAGUGAAAAAAAUAAAUAAAUAAAUCGAAACGUGAGCUUGGGUGAACGGGUUUUAAAUUAUGAUUUGACGAAAAUACCCCCGCCACCGACGCUCGUUUGGGAUUUGUUGACUCGGAAUGUCGGGGGUAGGCGAGGUCAAUUUGCGGCCGUGGCGGCAACUCGAAAAAACAGUUACAGGGACUGAAAAAAAAAAUAGGAAUAAUAAUUAAUAAUUAAUUAAUUGCAUCAUUUAUUUCCACCAUAUCCCUAUAUUUUUUUUAUACCGAUUUUUUCAAUUUCACAGCUAAUAUUGUCCCCUAUUUUAAUUAAAUUCUUUUUAUUAAAAUCAAAAAUAUAUAUUAAUCUUGACAAAAAUCGUCCUCUGUUCUGAUACUGAUAUAACAAGCAUAAUUAAUUUUAUGAUAACAUAAGUGGUAUGAUAGUUUUUGUUAGAUUAGAAUUAACAGUAUAUCCGAUAAAUAAAGUUAAUUUAUAUUUUUUAAAUCAGGUUCUCCGAGAUUUUAUGGUCAGAUUCCAUAUCGGGAUCAUUUAAGUACCCUCCAAAGCUCCAGCUUAAACGAUAGACGUUCAAAAUCGUAGUAUUCUUUCAUGCAAAAAAAAAGAAAAAAAUAUAUAUAUAUAUCUAUAUAUGUUAUAGAUCAUNNNNNNNNNNNNNNNNNNNNNNNNNNNNNNNNNNNNNNNNNNNNNNNNNNNNNNNNNNNNNNNNNNNNNNNNNNNNNNNNNNNNNNNNNNNNNNNNNNNNNNNNNNNNNNNNNNNNNNNNNNNNNNNNNNNNNNNNNNNNNNNNNNNNNNNNNNNNNNNNNNNNNNNNNNNNNNNNNNNNNNNNNNNNNNNNNNNNNNNNNNNNNNNNNNNNNNNNNNNNNNNNNNNNNNNNNNNNNNNNNNNNNNNNNNNNNNNNNNNNNNNNNNNNNNNNNNNNNNNNNNNNNNNNNNNNNNNNNNNNNNNNNNNNNNNNNNNNNNNNNNNNNNNNNNNNNNNNNNNNNNNNNNNNNNNNNNNNNNNNNNNNNNNNNNNNNNNNNNNNNNNNNNNNNNNNNNNNNNNNNNNNNNNNNNNNNNNNNNNNNNNNNNNNNNNNNNNNNNNNNNNNNNNNNNNNNNNNNNNNNNNNNNNNNNNNNNNNNNNNNNNNNNNNNNNNNNNNNNNNNNNNNNNNNNNNNNNNNNNNNNNNNNNNNNNNNNNNNNNNNNNNNNNNNNNNNNNNNNNNNNNNNNNNNNNNNNNNNNNNNNNNNNNNNNNNNNNNNNNNNNNNNNNNNNNNNNNNNNNNNNNNNNNNNNNNNNNNNNNNNNNNNNNNNNNNNNNNNNNNNNNNNNNNNNNNNNNNNNNNNNNNNNNNNNNNNNNNNNNNNNNNNNNNNNNNNNNNNNNNNNNNNNNNNNNNNNNNNNNNNNNNNNNNNNNNNNNNNNNNNNNNNNNNNNNNNNNNNNNNNNNNNNNNNNNNNNNNNNNNNNNNNNNNNNNNNNNNNNNNNNNNNNNNNNNNNNNNNNNNNNNNNNNNNNNNNNNNNNNNNNNNNNNNNNNNNNNNNNNNNNNNNNNNNNNNNNNNNNNNNNNNNNNNNNNNNNNNNNNNNNNNNNNNNNNNNNNNNNNNNNNNNNNNNNNNNNNNNNNNNNNNNNNNNNNNNNNNNNNNNNNNNNNNNNNNNNNNNNNNNNNNNNNNNNNNNNNNNNNNNNNNNNNNNNNNNNNNNNNNNNNNNNNNNNNNNNNNNNNNNNNNNNNNNNNNNNNNNNNNNNNNNNNNNNNNNNNNNNNNNNNNNNNNNNNNNNNNNNNNNNNNNNNNNNNNNNNNNNNNNNNNNNNNNNNNNNNNNNNNNNNNNNNNNNNNNNNNNNNNNNNNNNNNNNNNNNNNNNNNNNNNNNNNNNNNNNNNNNNNNNNNNNNNNNNNNNNNNNNNNNNNNNNNNNNNNNNNNNNNNNNNNNNNNNNNNNNNNNNNNNNNNNNNNNNNNNNNNNNNNNNNNNNNNNNNNNNNNNNNNNNNNNNNNNNNNNNNNNNNNNNNNNNNNNNNNNUAUAAAUUAAUUUAAAAAAACUAGAUAAAAUAUUAUAAUAAAUUAAAGUUUGAUGACUUAAAAUAUUCACAACUAUCACUAUUUGAGACAAAAGGGCGUAAUUUUAUUCGGAUUAAUAUACAACGCCGGGCUGUCUGUGAUUUGUAAAAUUAUAUUAUUUAUCUAUGUAUUUAUCUGUUAGUACUUUAAAUUACAGGGACAAAUGAGUUACUAACAUUGCUUCCAAUUUAUCUCUACCAAAUCUAGGGAUGGUUGGUUGAUUUAGGUGACCAGUUUUUCGGUGAUUUAACUAGGACUUAUUAAUUUCACUUCUUGCUAGUCAACAUAAAUUAGGAUGAUAAUUAAUAGAUUAAGGAAAUCAAUGUGUGGACAUUUCAAUGUUUUCACCGGAUAAUGUGGGAGAUUGUUAUGAAUUUAUGAGUGAUGGAAUAUGUAAAUAAUAAUCGGAGUUAAAGUAAUUUUGAAAUUAAUAGUUUUGGACCAUAAGUUAUUAUUGUAGUGGGUCGGAUAUACAAAUAGUUAUAUUGGAAAAGGUAUUGAAAAAAAAAAUCCCCUCAAAAAAUUGGUUGCUGAUUAUAUUCAUAUUAUUUUUAAUUUUGUUUUGUGUUGUUAAGUAAUUAAGACUGAGAUGAAGGAUGUAGCAAACUACUGUAUACUCCUACACUUUAAAUAUUUAAAUUCUAUUUAAAAAAUAUAGAAAAAAAUUUUUGAUACAAUGAGAGUUUCAUUCUAUGCUAAACUGGCAUUUCCCAUACAUUAAGGUUUCGUUUAGGUUAUGAAUAUUUGUACGAUAAAAAACUCAAUAGAAAAAUAUUUUAUUGUUUUCAUAGUAAGUUUAUUGCGUUUUAAUUAUUCGGGUAGUCGGCUAUGAUAUAGUUUUCUGCGUCCAUGGAAGAACGCAAAAUUAUAUUUUAUAAUAUUUUUUAUCCAACUUCUUCUAUCUGUAGUAUUUAGAUUGACUCUAAUACCGGCCUAACUAUAAUCAAUUUAUUAUCAAACAUUAUUAAUCACACUUAAUUAAUUUUGUACAAAGUGGGAGAAAAGUUACAGGAAAGAAAUUUUAUAUCCACAGAAUUUAUCUUCUUCUCUCAUCCAUCCUUUUUUCCUUUUUCUUUUUUUUUUUUUAUUUAAGUUUGCUUCAAUCCCAUUUCCCCUAAUAAUAUUCUGCUCCCAGAUGCAACUAUAAUUAGAACAGAAAGGCCGUAGGGGUAAAUGCUGGAGAUAUUGUAGUCACUUCAAGUUGCCUGCAUAAACAAAUUAGUCAAAGUUACUUACAUGGACUUCAAUGCAAAAUCCUAAGUUCAAUUCUUGGUAUUACUUGGUUUAAAUCUCCAUUGACAACAUCUAUAAAACCAUAAAUUAAAAAGGGAGGAGAGCACGCAUCAUGAUGUUUCUAUCUAGAAUCUGCUUUAACUAUUUAGUUAAAAUAAUAAUAUACAUCAUCCUCAUAUUACACACACACACACACAUAUAUAAAGAGAGAGAGUUGAGCUAAAAUGCUAUCGAUAGCAAACGGGUUUCGUUGUCAUUCAUUUGUUUCCGAUAAUACAGCCUCCAAAUUAACGAUCAGCAUCAUUGAAUAUGAUCUAUAUCACUUAAAGUAUAUAGAAAUCAAAUUUCAAAUCUUUUUAAUAUCAAUAACCUAAUGAUUAAAGGGUUUCAAAAUUUACAAUUUUAAUGGUCGAUAUGAAGCGUUUUCUUAUUUAAUGGUGUAAAGAUAUCCAAAUCAAUUGAAUUUUGGUUAAAAAAUUCUUUAAACUAUUUAAAACAAGAUCUAUACUCUCGAUCUUGAUUACAAGAUUCCUAUCACCACUUUUUAAAUAAUAUUCAUUUUCAAUUUUGUGUUCACUUGAUGGACAAGAGAACAAUAUCAGAAAAGCGUGAAACUUGAUUUCUAAAUGCUUCAAGUGGUAUAGAUAAUGUUCAAAGUGUCGAUCGUCGAUGUGAAAGCUCUAUCAUCGAAAAUAUGUGGAUGGCACCGAAAUCCGUUUGCUAGCAAUANUUAUGGUCAGAUUCCAUAUCGGGAUCAUUUAAGUACCCUCCAAAGCUCCAGCUUAAACGAUAGACGUUCAAAAUCGUAGUAUUCUUUCAUGCAAAAAACAAUAAAAAAAAAAAAAAAAAAAAAAAAAAAAAGUGUGUGAUAUAAUUGAUUAUAGUUAGGCGGUAUUGACGUCAAUCUAAUACUAUUAGAUAGAAUGAAGUUGAGAAAAAAUAUAUAGAAAUAUAAUUUUGCAUUCUCCGAUGGACCACAGAAAAUAUAUCAUAACCGACUACCCGCAAUAUGUAAAACGUAAUAUUACGUAUGAAAACAAAUAAAAUAUUUUUCUAUUAUCAUUUUUUACCGUAACAUAAUUUUUUCGCAAUUCCAAACGAAACCUUCAUGUGAUGGGAAUGCCAGUGUUAGCAUAGAAAUGAAACUCUCAUUUGGUAUCAAACUUUUUUUUAUAUUUUUAAAUAGAAUUUUAAAUAUUUAAAAGUGUAGGAGUAUACAGUAGUUUGCUUACAAUCCUUCAUCUCAGGUCUUAAUUACUUAACAACACAAAACAAAAUUUAAAAAUAAUAUUGGAAUAUAAUCAGCACCAAUUUUUUGAGGGGAUUUUUUUUUUUUCAAUACCUCUUCCAAUAAUAUACUAUUUGUAAUAAUCCGACCCACUAGCAAUAAUAACUUAUUGGUCCAAACUAUUGAUUCAAAAUACUUAAGUCCGAUUAUUAUUACUAGUAUGUCCAUCAUUCAUAAAUUCAUAACGCUCUCCCACAUUAUCCGAUGUGGAAUUAUUAGGAUGUCACUAUUGUAUUCUCUAAUCUAUUAACUAUCAAUUCCUAAUUUAUUGUUGACUAGGCAAGAAGUAGAUAAUUAAUUAAGUCCUAGUUAAAUCAGCAAAAAACUGGUCACCUAAAUCAACCACCAAUCCUAGAUUUGGUAGAUGAUAAAUUGGAGAGGCAAUGUUUAGGGUAUUUUCAUUUGUCCUGUAACUUUAAAGCACUACAGAUAAAUAGCAUAGUAAAUAAUAUAUUUUACAAAUCACAAGACAGCUCGACGUUGUAUAUUAUCAUCCGAGUAAAUUACGCUUUUGGUCCUCAAAUAGUGAUAGUUGUGAUAUUUUAGUCAUCAAACUUUAAUUUAUUACAAUAUUUAUCUAGUUUUUUAAAAUUAUUGUAAUUAAAUUCUACAUUCUAAUUUAAUUAUUUGAAUUUGGCUUGUAGUUGAUGUGACAGUAAUAUGAUUAUAUUAUAGUUUGACGGCACGGCACCAUGUUAUUAUUUAAUUAAAUCAACGGGUUAUCAAGUAUAUAUAUAUAAUGGGGCUACUAUGCUUCUGGAAACACGGAGACUUCCGUGCUUCCAGGUCGUUUUUGAUGUUGCAACUUUCGAAUCGUCGAUCGGCUCCAUUAAACUUGAUUUAAAGUAUUUGAAGUACCUAGAAAAUAAAUUUUGUAAUUUUUCGAUAUCAUUUGCCUAAUGAACAAAGGGGCUCAAAAUCAACGGCUAAGAAUAAAAGUCUUACAAAACGUGACAAUAUGACAUUAAAAUUUUAGAUCAAAGAUAUUGAUCUUAUUUUAUAUAGUAUAAAGAAUUUUCUAUCAAAAUUUUACGUAAUUUGGAUAUUUCUACACCGUUAAACUUGCAAACGGCUCACUACGGUCAUUAAAAUUAUUUGAUUUUGAGCCCCUUCGAUCACUAGGCAAAUGAUAUUGAAAAAUCAUAAAAUUUAUUUUCUAAGUACUUCAAAUACUCUAGAUCAAAUUUAACAGAGCCGAUCGACGAUUCGAAAGUCGAAACAUCGAAAACGACCUGGAAGGACAGAAGGCUCCGUGCUUUCAGAAGUAUAGUAGCCUCACUCAUAUAUAUAUAUAUAUAUAGUAGGGCUACUAUACUCUUAUGAGUAUAGUGCCCUUCGCACUUAUAAGUUAUUUUCGAUAAUAGAACUUCCGAAUCUACGAUUCACUCCGUUAAAUAUGAUCUAAAGUAUUCGAAACUUCUAAAAAAUAAAUUUAAUAAUUUUUCGAAACAUAAUAAAAUCAAUCGAGCGAGCAUAAAAUGAACGGUUGAAAUCGAACGACGUCCUAAAAAUAAUGAUCGGAUCCUUCAAUUUAAGAUCAGAAUUAUUGAUCUUUUUCUAGAUAGUGAAUAAAAUUCUCUAUCAAAAAUUCAAUCUAUUCUAUUUUUUUACACCAGUAAAUUAGUAAGUAUUCUAUACCGGCCGUUAAAAAUUAUAAAUUUUGCAACCUUUUAAUUAUAAGAUAAAUAAUAUCAAAAAAUUAUGAAAUUUAAUUUCUAAAAAUUUUUAAUACACUUAAUAAUGUUUAACGAUAUUGAUCGUCUAUUCAGAAACUCUACCAUCGAAAAUAAUUUAUAAAUACGAGGACCAUCAUACUUAGGCGAACUCUAUAUAUAUACACACNNNNNNNNNNNNNNNNNNNNNNNNNNNNNNNNNNNNNNNNNNNNNNNNNNNNNNNNNNNNNNNNNNNNNNNNNNNNNNNNNNNNNNNNNNNNNNNNNNNNNNNNNGUAGGCCCCCGCCCUCCUACGGCGGCGCCGCCGCACUCCGCCCUCCCCGGGAGCGGGCCGCUCCUUCUCCUGCGGCCCCCGCCGCUCCGACGCCGCCUCCUCCGGCCGCGCCGCUCGCCACCCGCACGAAACCCACUCCGCCAAAAGCCUCAUCAAGUACGAAAACACUAUCUCUCUCUCCCUCUCCCUCUCCCUCUCCCUCUCUCUCUCCUUGCUUCGAAUUGGGACCUAUUAGGGUUAGGGUUAGGGUUUGGCGCAGGGUUUCGCACUUGCCGAGUCCUUUUUUUUUAUUUAAUUUACGAGAACGCCACUUUGGACUCCGACGAGGCGGCGAGUGUGUGCUCGUUCGCUCUGCAUAGGGAGCCACUUAAAUAGAGCGACGCGGCGAUGAUGCGUUUGCCGAUAAUGCCCUCGCCUCGAUGCGACACCUGCAGGGUUAUUUUCGGAAAGUUAAUGUGAUUCGUUGGAUUUUUUUUGAGGACGCAUUUAAUUGGAUGCCCCGCCGUUCACGCCACGUGUGAUUAGAUUGGACGGUCGGUGUUUCUCUUUCUUUCGAUUUGAUCACCCUUUAACGUUGUGAGAUACUAUUUAUUUCUCGAGUGACAUUAUUAAUUAUAAUAAUUAAUUUAUAUUUUUUGUUUGAAAUUUUGAUUAUACAUUUUUAAAAUUUUUUAUUUUAACAACCUAGAUUUUAAAUUUAAGCUUUGAGGGACAAUUGAGAUCUUUCAUUAGCUUAUUACUCAAUAACCUACUAUGUAUUUGGUAUUUUAUCAAUUUAAAACUAAUACUAAUAUGUGUUAAUAAAAUUAUCUAUUUAAGUUUUCUCUUAAGGAGUUUGAUGCGAGCAUGGCAUGUUUAUCCAACGAUAUUAUAAAAUUACCGUUGUUUUUCAAAAGCUUGAGCGGCUAGAAAACGGUGUGCCUUUAAUAUUCAUGUAUAAACUCGAAUUUUUAGCAAAGCCGAAGUUGUGAACUUGAAAUAAAUAAAAGUAAAUUAAAUAAUACUAUAAGUCCAAUAAAACUCGAAUUCAGAACCUCCUAUUCUGAUAUCAUAUAUAUAUAUAUAGAGAGAGAGAGAGAGUGGGCUGGUAUGCUUCUAAAAGUACGGAACUCUCCGUGCUUCCAAGUUGUUUUCGAUGUUCGGACUUUCAAAUCGACGAUCGGCUCCGUUAGAGUUGAUCUAUAGUAUUUGAAGUACCUAGAAAAUAAAUUUUGUGAUUUUUCAAUAUUAUUUGCCUAGUGAUCGAAGGGGCUCAAAAUUAAUAAUUUUAAUGGCCGUAGUGAGCCGUUUGCAAGUUUAACAGUGUAGAAAUAUCCAAAUCACAUGAAAUUUUGAUAGAAAAUUCUAUUCACUACAUAGAUAAAGAUCAAUAACUCCGAUCUUGCAUUGAAGGAUCCGAUCAUGCUUUUUAGGAUGUCGUUCGAUUUUGACCGUUCAUUUUAUGCUCACUUGAUGGACUUUAUUAUGAUUUGAAAAAUUUACGAAAUUUAUUUUCUAAAACUUUCAAAUACUCUAGAUCAUAUUUAACGGAGUGAAUCGUCGAUUCGGAAGCUCCAUCAUCAAAACGAGUUCGUGUCCGGGUUUGAAACUUGACUAGACAAUGAGGACUUGUACAAUUGACACUAUUAAGUGAAUAAAAAGCCAAAGUUAAGCUUCCUGUUAAACUUGAUUUAGCAUAUGGUCUAAUUGACGUUCAAUAUAAAUAAUCAGCUUGUUCGUGAUUUCGCGUUGCAAUAAUUCAAUAUUUUAUAGACCGUAUUUUAUCUGAUUAAUCUUUUCAGUAAUACAGUGUAAGAAUGGGAAGUUCGAGGUCCACCUCAAUUAUAAAUGAAAAUUACUAUUCUUACAAACAAUAUAUUUUUUUAAUCAAUUAAAUAGGAUCGCAUAAAUAAAUGUCGUACUUGUUUUGUCAUUAUAAAAAAGAAAAAAGAAAAAAGAAAUUAAAGAGGUGUGGUAAUGGAGUAUACGUCGUAGCAUCUAAACUAGAGCACUAGCUUUGGACAAAUGGCGUGUGAUUGAGAGAGGUUAAGUCCCCUACGUUGUUACAUGUGGACGAGGAUAUUUGUAUUAUUAUAUAUAUAUAAUAAUAAUAAUAAUAAUAAUAAUAAUUAUACUGUACGACGACGUGUCACGCUAAUUAAUUUCGACCGCGAUGGCAUUUCCGUUAUUGUUCCCACAUCCAGGGGCAUAAAUAUAAGACCAAAAAUUAACUCGAGAGAGUGGAAGCGAGCGAGAGGGAGAGAGAGAGAGAGAGAGAGAGAGAGAGAGCGCGCGAACCUGAACUCGCCGGUGCGAGCGCGGGGCGAAACCCUACCUGAGGAUCCGGCGCUGAUGAGCUUCGUCGCAGGGCCCGCGGCGGCUGCGGCGGCGUCGGCGAGUGGCGCCGCCUCCGUAGCGGCGUUCUCUUCGUAGAUGUCCCCGAGCGAGGGCCUCCAAGGAUCGGCCGCGCCGCCGCCGCCGCCGCCGCCACCGCCGUAGGCCGCCGCCCUCCUACGGCGGCGCCGCCGCACUACGCCCUCUCCGGGAGAGGGCCGCUCCUUCUCCUGCGGCCCCCGCCGCUCCGACGCCGCCUCCUCCGGCCGCGCCGCUCGCCACCCGCACGAAACCCACUCCGCCAAAAGCCUCAUCAAGUACGAAAACACUAUCUCUCUCUCCCUCUCCCUCUCCCUCUCCCUCUCUCUCUCCUUGCUUCGAAUUGGGACCUAUUAGGGUUAGGGUUAGGGUUUGGCGCAGGGUUUCGCACUUGCCGAGUCCUUUUUUUUUAUUUAAUUUACGAGAACGCCACUUUGGACUCCGACGAGGCGGCGAGUGUGUGCUCGUUCGCUUUGCAUAGGGAGCCACUUAUAUAGAGCGACGCGGCGAUGAUGCGUUUGACGAUAAUGCCCUCGCCUCGAUGCUACACCUGCAGGGGUAUUUUCGGAAAGUUAAUGUGAUUCGUUGGAUUUUUUUUGAGGACGCAUUUAAUUGGAUGCCCCGCCGUUCACGCCACGUGUGAUUAGAUUGGACGGUCGGUGUUUCUCUUUCUUUCGAUUUGAUCACCCUUUAACGUUGUGAGAUACUAUUUAUUUCUCGAGUGACAUUAUUAAUUAUAAUAAUUAAUUUAUAUUUUUUGUUUGAAAUUUUGAUUAUACAUUUUUAAAAUUUUUUAUUUUAACAAUCUAGAUUUUAAAUUUAAGCUUUGAGGGACAAUUGAGAUCUUUCAUUAGCUUAUUACUCAAUAACCUACUAUGUAUUUGGUAUUUAUCAAUUUAAAACUAAUACUAAUAUUGUUAAUAAAAUUAUCUAUUAAGUUUUCUCUUAAGGAGUUUGAUGCGAGCAUGCAUGUUUAUCCAACGAUAUUAUAAAAUUACCGUUGUUUUUCAAAAGCUUGAGCGGCUAGAAAACGGUGUGCCUUUAAUAUUCAUGUAUAAACUCGAAUUUUUAGCAAAGCGAAGUUGUGAACUUGAAAUAAAUAAAAUAAAUUAAAUAAUACUAUAGUCCAAUAAAACUCGAAUUCAGAACCUCUAUUUCUGAUAUCAUAUAUAUAUAUAUAGAGAGAGAGAGAGUGGGCUGGUAUGCUUCUAAAAGUACGGAACUCUCCGUGCUUCCAAGUUGUUUUCGAUGUUCCGACUUUCAAAUCGACGAUCGCUCCGUUAGAGUUGAUCUAUAGUAUUGAAGUACCUAGAAAAAAAUUUUGUGAUUUUCAAUAUUAUUUGCCUGUGAUCGAAGGGCUCAAAAUUAAUAAUUUUAAUGGCAUGAGCCGUUUGCCAAGUUUAACAGUGUAGAAAUAUCCAAAUCACAUGAAAUUUUGAUAGAAAAUUCUUUAUACCAUAUAAAACAAAAUCAAUAACUUUGAUCUAAAAUUUUAAUGUCAUAUCAUCAUAUUUUGUAAGAUUUUUAUUUUCAGCCGUUGAUUUUAAGCCACUUGAUCACUAGACAAAUGAUAUCGAAAAAUCGCAAAAUUUAUUUUCUAGAUACGAUCGACUUCGUACUCAUAAAUCAUUUUAGAUGAUAGGAAUUUCGAAUCAAUGAUCGGAAUCAUUAAAGUUGAUAUAGAGUAUUUAAAGUGUUUAGAAAAUAAAUUUUAUAAAUUUUAUAAAUUAUUUAUGUAGUUAUCAAAGAAUUACAAAAUUGAUAAUUUUUUACAGUGUAAAUCGUUUUGCUUGUUUAACAGUGUAAAAUAAUACAAACAGCUCAAAUUUUUGCUAGAAAAUUUUUUAUAUUAUUUAAAUAAUAUUUGAUAACUCUGAUCAUGAAUUGAAAAUGUCUAACAUCUAUUUUCACAAGAUACCGGUCAUUUGUCGACUAUUCAAUGAACUUGAUAACGAAUUUUAAAAUUUAUGAAAUUUAGUUUCUAGACGUUAUAAAUAUUUUAAAUCAACUUUAACAGUUCCGAUCAUCGAUUCGAUAUUUCUAUCAUCUAAAACGACUUAGGAGGCAAAGGCAUCUGUCCUCCUAAAAGAAUAAUUACUGGACUCUAUAUUUCUAUACUAUAUAUAAAGGCACGUAUUUCAAAUUUGGGUCUAUCGAUAGACUCAUUUUUUAGCGGGAAAAAAUAUUGUUUUCUCUUUCCUUACAUAAAAUAAAUAACGUAAUGAAACAAACUUUUAACUUCUAUUUAUCUCUAAAAUAGAAAAAAAAUAUACUUAUCCAAAUUUUUGCCAACCGAAAGAUAUUUACUGUGAAUCUAUAUUUUAAUUAAAAUUUAAUUUAAUUUUUUUAUCUCUAAAAUAGAAAAAAAAAAUCAUGCUUAUCCAAAUUUUUGCCAGAAUAUCUACUGUAAAUCUAUAUUUCAAUUCAAAAUAUAAAAUUAAUUUAAAAUUUAAAAUUUUGGGACUAUCUAUAUAUUACAAUGAAAAUAAUUUAAAAGAUAGAUUGGUCGAUAAAUUUGUAAAUCAUAAUUUUGAAUUAAUAUGAUAUACAAAUUUAUGAUCAAUUUGUAAAAAAUUAUCUCAAAUAAGAACAAACAAUUAUGAUCAAUUUGUUAAAAAAAAACAUUCAUACCUAUCUAUAACUUCAAUUCGACGAACGGUUAUGAUCAAUUGGUUAAAAAUAUUGAAAAUAAAAAUGAANNNNNNNNNNNNNNNNNNNNNNNNNUUAAUUUUUUGACGUCAAUUUACCUUACGAUCAAGAGGUCAAAAUUUGACAAUUUUUAAGCAGGCCGGUAUGGAUAUCAUUUCCUAGUUUAACGUUAUGUAGAAAGAAUCGAAAUUUGUUGAUUUUGAUAGAAAAUUCUAUCAAUACAUAGAUAAAGAUACUAACUCCGAUCUUCAUUGAGCGAUCCGAUCAUGGCUUUUAGGAUGUCGUUUCGAUUUUGACCGUUCAUUUUAUGCAUCACUUGAAUGUGACUUAUUGUGUUAUGAUUAAAAUUUACGAAAUUUAUUUUUCUAAAACUUUCAAAUAACUCUAGAUCAUAUUAACGGAGUGAAGCGUCGAUUCGGAACCAUCAUCAAACGAGUUCUGUGUCCGGGUUUGUAAACUUGACUAGACAAUGAGGACUUGACAUUGACACUAUUAAGUGAAUAAAAAGCGCCAAAGUAAGCUUCCUGCUUAAACUUGAUGUUAGCAUUAUGCGUCUAAGUUGACGUUCAAUAUAAAAUAAUCAGACUUGUCGUGUAUUCGGCUGCAAUAAUUCAAUAUUUUAUAGACCGAUUUUAUCUGAUUAAUCUUUUACAGUAAUACAGUGUAGAAUGGAAUUCGAGGUCCACCUCAAUUAUAAAUAUGAAAAUUACUAUUCUUACAAUAACAAUAUAUUUUUGUUAAUCAAUUAAAUAGGAUCCAGCAAUAAAUAAAUGUCGUACUUUUUUUGUCAUUAUACAAAAGAAAAAGAAAAAAGAAAUUAAAAGGUGUGGUAAUGGAGUAUCGUUCGUAGCAUCUAAACUAGAGCACUAGCUUUGGACAAAUUGCGUGUGAUUGAGAGAGGCUUAGUCCCCAUACGUUGUUACAUGUGGACGAGAUAUUUGAUUAUUAUAUAUAAUAUAUAGAUAAUAAAAUAAUACUAUAAUAAUUUACUGUACGAGACGUUACGCUAAUUAAGUUUCGACCGCGAUGGCCAUUUGCCGUUAUUGUUCCCACAUCCAUGGGCAUAAAUAUUAGAACCAAAAAUUACAUCGAGAGAGUGAAGCGCAGCGAGAGGGAGAGAGAGAGAGAGAGAGAGAGGAGAGAGAGCGCCGCGGAAACCGUGAACUCGCCGUGCGAGCGGCGGGCGAAACCUUACCUGAGGAUGCGGCGCUGAGAGCUUCGUCGCCAGGGCCCGCGGCGGCUGCGGCGUGUCGGCGAGUGUCGCGCGCCUCGCGUAGCGGCGUUCUCUUCGUAGAUAGUCCCGAGCGAGGGCCUCAAGGAUCGGCCGCGCCGCCGCCGAGGCCGCCGUAGGCCCGCCUCUACGGCGCGGCCGCCGCACUCCGCCCUCCCCGGAGCGGGGCGCCUUCCUCCUGCGCCCGCCGCUCCGACGCCGCCUCCUCCGGGCCGCGCCGCUCGCCACCGCCCACGAAACCACUCCGCCAAAAGCCUCAUCAAGUACGAAAACACUAUCUCUCUCUCCCCUCUCUCCCUCUUCCUCCUCUCUCCUUGCUUCCAAUUGGGACCUAUUAGGGUUAGGGUUAGGGUUUUGGCCAGGGUUUCGCACUGUGCCGAGUCCUUUUUUUUAUUUAAUUUACGAGAGACGCACACUUGGACUCCGACGAGGCGGCGAGUGUGUGCUCGUUCGUCUGCAUAGGGAGCAGUUAAAUAGAGCGACGCGGCGAUGAUGCGUUUGCCGAUAAUGCCCUCGCCUCUUAUGCGACACUGCAGGGUUAUUUUCGGAAAGUUAAUGUGAUUCAGUUUGGAUUUUUUUGAGGACGCAUUUAAUUGGAUGCCCCGCCGUUCACGCACGUCGUGAUUAGAUUGGACGGUCGUGUUUCUCUUUUCUUUCGAUUUGAUCAACCUUUAACGUUGUGAGAUAUUAUUAUUUUCGAAUGACAUUAUUAAUUUAUAAUAAUUAAUUUAUAUUUUUGUUUGAAAUUUUGAUUAUACAUUUUUAAAAUUUUUAUUUUAACAACCUAGAUUUUAAUUUAAGCUUUGAGGGACAAUUGAGAUCUUUCAUUUAGCUUAUUACUCAAUAACAUACUAUGUAUUUGGUAUUUUAUCAAUUUAAAACUAAUACUAAUAUUGUUAAUAAAAUUAUCUAUUAAGUUUUCUUAAGGAGUUUGAUGCGAGCAUGGCAUGUUUAUCCAACACGAUAUUAUAAAAUUACGUUGUUUUCAAAAGCUUGAGCGGCUAGAAACGGUGUGCUUUAAUAUUCAUGUAUAAACUCGAAUUUUUAGCAAAGCGAAGUUGUGAACUUGAAAUAAAUAAAAUAAAUUAAAUAAUACUAUAGUCCAAUAAACUCGAAUUCAGAACCUCUAUUUCUGAGUAUCAUAUAUAUAUAUAUAGAGAGAGAGAGCAGAGUGGCUGUAUGCUUCUAAAAGUACGGAACUCUGCCGUGCUUCCAAGUUGUUUUCGAUGUUCGCGGACUUUCAAAUCGACGAUCGGCUCCGUUAGAGUUGAUCUAUAGUAUUUGAGAAGUACCUAGAAAAAAAUUUUGUGAUUUUUCAAUAUUAUUUGACCGGUGAUCGAAGGGCUCAAAAUUAAUAAUUUUAAUGGCAGUGAGCCUUUGCCAAAGUUUAACAGUGUAGAAUAUCCAAAUCACAUGAAAUUUUGAUAGAAAAUCUUUUAUUACCAUAUAAAACAAAUCAAUAACUUUGAUCUAAAAUUUUAAUGUCAUAUCAUCAUAUUUUGUGUAGAUUUUUAUUUUCAGCGUUGAUUUUAAGCCACUUGAUCACUAGACAAAUGAUAUCGUAAAAAUCGGCAAAAUUUAUUUUCUAGAUACGAUCGACUUCGUACUCAUAAAUCAUUUAGAUGAUAGGAAUUUCGAUCAAUGAUCGGAAUCAUUAAAGUUGUAUAUAGAGUUUUUAAAGUGUUAGAAAAUAAAUUUUAUAAAUUUUAUAAAUUAUUAUGUAGUUAUCAAAGAAUUAAAAAUUGAUAAUUUUUACAGUGUUAAAUCGUUUUGCUUGUUUAACAGUGUAAAAUAAUCAAACAGCUCAUUGCUAGAAAAUUUUUUAUAUUUAUUUUUUUUUUUAAAUAAUAUUGAUAACUCUGAUCAUGAUAUUGAAAUGUCUAACAUCUAUUUUCACAAGAUACGGUCAUUUGUCGACUAUUCAAUGAACUUGAUAACGAAUUUUAAAAUUAUGAAAUUUAGUUUCUAGACGUAUAAAUAUUUAAAAUCAACUUUACAGUUCCGAUCAUCGAUUCGAUAUUUCUAUCAUCUAAACGACUUAGGAGCAAAGGCAUCAUGUCCUCCUAAAAAAUAUUACUGGACUCUAUAUUUCUAUACUAUAUAUAAGCACGUUAUUUCAAAUUUGGGUCUAUCGAUAGACUCAUUUUUUUACGGGAAAAAUAUUGUUUUCUUUUCCUUACAUAAAAUAAAUAACGUAAUGAAACAAACUUUUAACUUCAUUUUAUCUCUAAAUAGAAAAAAAAAUCUAUAUUAUCCAAAUUUUUGCCAACCGAAAGAUAUUUACUGGUGAAUCUAUAUUUUAAUUAAAAAUUUAAUUAAUUUUUUUAUCUCUAAAAUAGAAAAAAAAAUCAUGCUUAUCCAAAUUUUUGCCAGUAAUAUCUAUGUAAAUCUAUAUUUCAAUUUCAAAUAUAAAUUAAUUUUAAAUUUAAAAUUUUGGACUAUCUAUAUAUUACAAUGAAAAUAAUUUAAAAAUAGAUUGGUGCGAUAAUUUGUAAAUCAUAAUUUUGAAUUAAUAUGCAUAUACAAAUUUAUGAUCAAUUUGUAAAAAAUUAUCUUCAAAUAAGAACAAACAAUUAUGAUCAAUUUGUUAAAAAAAAACAUUCAUACCUAUCUAUACUAAAUUCGACGAACGGUUAUGAUCAAUUGGUUAAAAAAUAUUGAAAAUAAAAAUGAAACUAUUAUGUUCAAUCUGUUAAAAAUUAGCAAUUCUAUCCAUUUAUUUUAUAUUAAAAUUAAUUUGAGUUUAAAUUUUGAAUUAAAUUUAAUUUUUGAUUUUUGAUAUCAAAUCUAUCCAUCUAUUUAUAUUAAAUUUAAAAUUGAUAUUGUAGAUAUUUUCUAAUAAAAUGUAACAUAUAAAUUUAGAAAAUAUUUUAUUCUAAAUUUUUGAAUAAUAUGAUUUACAAAUGUUUAUUGAUUUAAAUAAAUUAAAAUAAUUGUUACGUGCAGUUGCAGUAUGCUCAACUAGUAUAUAUAUUAUAUAUAUUAUAUAUAUUAUAUGGGUCCGGCUAUAUACUAUUAUGAGUACGAUCGCCCUCGUACUCAUAAGUGUUUUCGAUGAUAGCUGCUUCCGAAUCGACGAUCCACACCGUUAAACGUUAUUUACAACAUUUAAACUUUUAGAAAUCAAAUUUAUAAUUUUCGACAUCAUUUACCUUACGAUCAAGAGGUCACACAUUUGGACAAUUUUUAACGGUCGCGUAUGAGAUAACUUGCUAGUUUACGGUGUAGAGAAUCGAAAUUGUUGAAUUUUUGAGAUAGAAAAUUCUUCACUGCAUAGAUAAAAUCAAUAACUCGCAUUCUUGAAUUGAAGGAUCUGAUCAUCCUUUUUUAGGGCGUCUGUAACGAUUUGACCGUUCAUUUUAUGCCACUUGAUGGACUUUAUUAUGAAUUCGAAAUUUACGAAAUUUAUUUUCUAGAAGUUUCAAAUCUCUAGAUCAUUUUAAUGGAGUGGAUCGUCGAUUCGGAGCUCCAUCAUCAAAACAACUUAUGGAGUACGAGGGCUCCAAUACUCAUAAUAGUAUAAUAGCCAUGGCCAUAUAUAUAUACAUAUAUAUAUAUAUAUUGAAACAAUCGUUGUUCUUAAUAGUUACGACAUCGAUUCGCGGAUCCUUAUCAUCUUAAAACACUUAGGAGGACGAAAAUCUCGUCCUUCUAAAAGGAUAGUAGCUGAACUAUAUAUAUAUAUAUAGUAGAGAGAGAGAGGAGAGAGAGAGAGAAGGAGAGAGAAGAGAGAGAGUUUUUUUUCUUUUUGAGAGAUAGGUAAACGCUACCGCUUAGUUUAUUUUAUUUAAAAAUAAAUUAGCUAGAAAUGUGAAAUAACUAGGAUUUCGAACUUGGGGACUUCGAUACCAACCAUCAAGUCCUUUGCACUUGCUCCAGGGACGUCAGUAGAGAUCGGAGUUAUUGAUAUUUAUCUAAGUAUGGAGAUACAAUUUUCUAUCAAAAUUCAAGUUAUUCCAAUUCUUUUACCACCGUUAAACUAGCAAGUACGGUCAUUAAAAAUUGUCAAAUUUUGUGACAUUUGAUCAUGAGGGUAAAAUGAUGUCGAAAAAAAUUUGAAAUUUGAUUUCUAGAAGUUUAAAUAUGCUCUAGAUAAUAUUUAAACGGUAUGGAUUGUCGUUGUGAAAACUCUAUCAUCUGAAAAUGACUUAUGAAUACAAGAGCGAUCGUAUUCAUAAGAAAUAUAGUAGCCGGACUCAUAUAUAUAUAUAUAUAUAUAUAUAUAUAUGAAACAAUCGUUGUUUCUUAAAAGAUUAAGCUGAUAGAGAACCGUCGAUAUACUACUAACAAGACUUGUUCGUACAAGGGAUACAAAUUUAAGGACAAAAUUGCUAAAAUCGAAGAUCUGAAAAACAUAAGUGGAAAUCAAAGUAUCACACUGUAGGUAUUUGAUUGCACAUAAAUCUCAUUUUGUGGUCUUAAAAGUGGAGCUUAUGGAUGGUAGUUUUCUCCAUCACAUUUACUCAAAAUUCAAGACAAUUCCUUCCACCUCAACAAUUUCUAGAUCUUUCCCAGAAGCCCAUAUACCGAAAUGUUGCAGUCACUAAGAUUCUUUGCUGAUGCGCUUUCGUUAACUGGUGUGGACACCAGAAGCUGAGGAAUGCUGCAGAUGAAUAGUCUCUGUACACAAUAAGUGCUUAUUUACCACUUUGUGACAAAAUGUGCCUCAUUUGGUGCUGCUUCUAGGGACUUCAGAGGAAAAAAUUAAAAGAAGAGAAAAAAAAAAAAUCUGGACUGUGCAACUUAAUGCUGCAACAUUUGCCCUGUUCCCUGAAAUGGUGGGCUCUUGCUCCCACCAAUAGAUCUCCCUCCCCUGUUGGGUCCCUGUCAUACAAUAAAUUUUUGCUUGAGUGGCCUCUUUUGAUGUUGUUACUCAUGUUUGAAUAGUAAAAAUACUUUAUUUGAACAAUAAUAGCCCAGCAUAAUCAAUAACUUCACCAUCAGAGUGCUAAAAUUUUAUCUCUAACAACUAUUAUCAGCAUGUUUUGUCAAUUGAUUUGUUCAUCAUUCAUUAUCAUGCUAGAGAAGACCAUAUUCGGUUUUCUAGAUGCUUAUAUCGAUUAGUCUAUAUUGUUUCUACAAUCUUCUACUUAGAUUACGACAAACUAGAGGACAUACUACUGGCUAUUUGGAUUGCGUAUAUUGUUGCUGUUCUGAAACAUUGCAUGUCUGUUAACAGAUAAAAAUAUCUCGGAGUGGACCACUGUUGAGGGGGUAUUAAAUCGAUACGGACAGCGAGAUCAAAUGUAGCAAAUUGUCCGCGAAAGUCGAAUUCUGUGACAAGGCACCUGAUACAAGUCCUGUGAAAUAUGACUGAAGAAGAUGGAGUUGUUUUUGUCGGACUAAACCACAUGAAAUUGCCAACGCAUACAGCCAAGGGAGUUCUUGUGGUUGAUGGAAGAUGCUGUUUUAUGAGCACAAGUUUUUUCUCCGAGGGUGGAUUAGAUUUGAUUCUAGUCAGGGAAACAACAUGCUUAGGAAUGCAAUUGGUGGGAGUUUUAAUCCCGUAAGCUUCGCGAUGCAGCAUAAAUGUUUGAAUUGACAAUUCAUGAGACUAUAUCUGGAUUUGUGGAUCAUAUGUUUCGCUAACAUACAAAUUUCUUUUCAUUUUCGAUCUGACUUUCGAGCAAUAACUGAUGUUACAGCAACUAGGCUCAAGAACACCACAAAAUUCUUCGGAUCCAAGGCCAAACAGAAGCAACUAUGAAAGGAAAAAAAACAAAGAAUAGCAGUGAUCCAACUUCAAUUACCGAAACUGCAUAUUUAGUGUUGUUCUUUUCUUAAAGUUUGCACGAAAAGCUCUGAUUCACACUGCUUUGAGGUUCAUGGAUUUUGUUUGAUGAACAAUGAUUUUUUUCCGUGUUUCAUAAUACGGUUAACCAACAUGUUAACUAAUCGAUUACGAUAAAUUGGAUCGGAUUUUGGAGUUUUUUCUUCUGCAGUACCUCGACGUGACAUGAGCGUGAAAGAGGUUCAAGAAUCAGUUUUCUUUUUAUAAGGGCUAAAAACGAAUCACUUAUUUUGGCUUUUUAACCCCAUAUUGUAGGGUGGAUCUUGAAAGAUAUGAAAGAUCUCCCUCCAAGCCGUACAUACGACUUUCAUCGAAUACGGCUUACAGCAGGCACCGUCCGAAGAAUAAAAACUACCUAGGUCAAAUCUGCCGUUUAUAUGGCUUUGAGAUUCAGGCGUUUCAUAUAAUGAACGGUAGAUUUAAUGGUCUUAGGGUUUGGACUCUCUAACAAAUCUUUGUUAAUGUAGAACAAAACUUUCGGAAACAGUCCCCACGUUCUGUGAGACCACCAAACUCAUCACGAACUUGUAGCGGAACCAAGCCCUCUUUUGAAAACCAAGUACUCUUUUGUUUUCAAUUUUCUUCUUGUUUUUGAAACUGUAGUGGUAUAUAGUCAUAUAAUGGAAAGAGCACAAGAAGCCCACCACUCUGCUAAGAAUGGAGAAUGGAGAACUGGUUCCAUCCUAAAGGCUGAAUAAAGUGAGGUCAGAAGAAUAAAGUGGCCAAGUUGAUUCAUCUUUUUACAGAAUAUGUUCCAACCAUGCCCAAAGAGAAAAAAAAAAACAAAAACAAAAACAAAAACACAUCAAUAUCUCCCUUUGUUACGAUAUAUUUAUAUAGUUUAUCUAUAUUAGGAUACUGUAUAUUAUUUGUCUUUUAUAGAGUAGGAUUAUAUAAUAUGUAAUCUUAAUUAUACUCUUAUUAUAGUAGUCAUUGUUAUUAUAAUAAGAAAAUCUCUUGUACUAUAUAUAUUCGAUAAUACAACCUAAGAGGGUAUACUCUUUUACCAUUCUUUCAUGGUAUCAGAGAGGAAAUCCUAAUUUGGGAAUAUCGAUCCAUAGCCACUACAAGUCUCACCUUCUUCUAUAGGUAUUUUUUUCUUUUUGGUGUUCUACCUCUCAUUUUUCUUGGACUUCUAUCUCUCUGCUACAAUACUGUUACAGUGUGCUAUAGUAAAUAGAUGCUCUUAUUGCCACUUUACAACGUGAAUUUGCCACGACGGAUCUCGGACUGUUGCAUUAUUUUUUGGGUAUUGAUGUUCAUCGCUCCCCCUCUGGUCUUCAUCUAUCUUGGCAAAAAUAUGCGCAUCAACUACUUCAGCGACAUGACUUUUUAACAGUAAGUCCGUUUCUACUCCUCUUUCGCUGACGUCUUGUCUCUUUUCUCAUGAGAGGUGUUUUCUUGAGGAUCCAUACGCUUAUCGUCAGAUAGUUUGUGCUCUCCAGUAUCUCAUUUUCACUAGACCGAACGUUUCAUAUGCCGUCAACUCUGUUGCCCAGUAUCUGCAUACACCUUGUGAACCGCACAUGCAAGCGGUCAAGCGUUUUCUGCGUUAUAUUCGGGAAACGCUGUCUUAUGGUCUUCCUAUCUCUCACUGCGACAAUCCUUCUCUUGUGACCUUCGCCAAUGCUGAUUGGGCUGGUUGUCCAAAUACACGUCGCUCUACUUCUAGAUAUUGCAUUUUUUCGGGCCAAAUCUUAUCUCCUGGUCCACUAAGAAACAACCCACAAUUUCUCAUUCCAGUUUUGAAGUGGAGUAUCGUGAUGUCGCCUACACAUUUGCUGAAACUGUUUGGAUUCGUCGUCUAAUUCAUGACCUUUGUGUUUUCUUAUGGUGCCCUAUCAAUAUUUAUUGCGAUAAUCUCAGCACCAUUUACCUUGCGGCCAAUCCUAUUUUCCAUGCUCGUACAAAGCACAUUGAACUUGACCAUCAGUUCUUGUAGAAAAAAGUCCAGUCUGGUGACUUGGCCUUAAUUUAUAUCCCUUCUAAGAAGCAACUUGCCGACAUUUUCACCAAGCUCUUGUCACCCUCUCGGUUUUCGAUCUUGCGGCUCAAUCUUCGCAUCCAACCAGCAAAUGCUUAACUUGCGGAAAAAUGUUACGAUAUAUUUGUAUAGUUUAUCUAUAUUAGAAUAUUGUGUAUUAUUGCCUUAUAUAGAUAAUAAGACAAUCUCUUAUACUAUAUAUAUUCGUUAAUACAACAUAAGAGGAUAUACUCUUUUACCCUUCUUUCACCCUUCAUAGUGUGCUACCAAACAAUGAUCUUAUAGGUGUGCACUCGAAUGAUUCCCAAAAUCAGAAGAGUUGAUCUAAGAUGAUCAUGAUUAAGAUUGCAAAGUUUUCACUUUCACCCGUUAUUAGGAGUACCUUUUUAUUUUCCUUUUUAGUGUGCACACAAAUCAACAAAAAAGAGGUUGAAUUUACCAGUUUGAACAACAGGGGAAACAGAAGCAAUCAAUGGUCGAAAAUUUCGACUAGUUUUUGGAUAGCUGUUAUGGAGUACGCUUGUCCGGGAGCACAAUAUAUUGGAAACCCCACUAUCGUAGCUUUAAUUAUAGUUUAUUAUUUGGUCAGGAAUCUAUCAUUGCUAAGCUCUACUAUAAAACUGUCGCACCUGCUACUGAUCAAAUUUAUGUUAAAGGAAAGAAGAGCAGCAUGCAAUGCAGGUUGAUGCAUGGUGGCGACAUCUUCGGCCUUUUUUGCAGUGUUGGUGAUUAUUCUCUCUAUAAACAACAACAACAACAACAACAACAACAACAAUGAUAACAACAACAACAACAACAACAACAACAACAACAACAAUAAUUGCAUUGCCAUCAGUAAUCAGUCCCAUAGACAAAAAGAAAGAUGCUUGAUUUGAAUAAAUGCGGCUUAAAAAAGAAAAAGAAGACAACCUCUAGAAGAUCUUCUUUAAGAAGAAAAGCAAAGUCAGAUAUUCGGCAAAUUAGAGGUCUUAGAGUAUAAUAAGAGCGCGACUUUAGCAAACGAAGAGAAAAUUACUCGAGAGCUUUGCAAAGAUCUCCUUUAGUGAGAAAAGUGAAGUCAAAGAUUUAGCAAAAGAAAAGUCAAGAGAUUAUAGCUCCCCAUUCAAUUUGGAACUAGUAAGUAUCUGUACAUUUUCAACAAGUUGUUGGUCGAUUUAACCUUGAAAUUUAAGCCCUAAACCUCGAGUCCCCGAAUUUCAAUCAACGUAUCUUCUUAAGCUGGUAAAUUUCAAAGUUCAAAAAAUUGUAUGCAAGGAAUACCAUUUCAUGCUGAAAAUAUUGAUGGUAACAAGCAAGUCUAGACCAGUACUGACAUUUUCUCAAGUGCAAAUGGAACUCUACAACUUCAUUGAUCACCUGAACCAAACCAUUUCAAGACCAAUUUAUGUACUUACUGAAAUAAUCAUAAAAAAAAAAUCACUUUUUACUCAGGAUAGAAGAUAACUAUUUGUUAAUACAGAAGCUAUGUAAAAAAGAUGGCACAAAUUACAGUAAAAUUGUUACAGAACUUUGAGAUAAGUGGAAGAGCCACUCUCACAAACUACACUUCUUAGAGGGGCAAAGUUGUCAGAACAUUAUACAUCUUGGAGGGCAAUGUUCAAGGGACUAUUAGAAAAGCAAAAGAUGCCUAGUGCAUAAAGGUACUUCCUGGGAAUCCAGAAUUUCAUUCUGAAUUCCAACAUUAAUAUCAAGCUAAAUCUAAAACCAUAGAACUACAUAAAUGUGAUAUUAUCUUAUAAAAAUAUUACCAACAUGUCAGUUUUCUAACGCAAGUAAUUUAUGCGUGUAUUCCAGAGGCAUGGAAGGUCAUACAUACAACGUUCCUUUCAAAUACAAGAAAUUGAACAAGUUGUCUAUAUGCAUAUUCCAGAGACAUAAGGUUUACACUACAAUUUACAUGCAGUAAUGGCUCUGUGUAGCAGCAGAUUGGUCACUGAAAACUGUCCCAUUCCACAAUCAAUCACCAAUUUCCACAUCUCAUGUCCAGCAACUACUACUCGACAAAUCCAUAUAAGCAUUCUUAGUGGAAGUCGUACUCCUGCCAGGUUUUUCUAACCCGUUCAGGAAAAUAAUCUGUUACUAUUUCUAUGCAAUUUAACCUAACUGCUCAGAAGCAUUAUCUAGUAAAAGUUACCAAAAAUUAUUCAACUUUUUUUCAAGACCAGGCAAUUGGACCUUAAUACCUUACUUUAGCCGCAGAACAUGAUAUCUUUUGUCAAUUACAGCAAACAGCUGGCUAACAAGGUCAGCAAAUUAAGGAUUACUGCAAGUAAACAUGGCCCAAAAGGCCUAAUAACAUUUUUGUUAGAACUCCAGAAAAGCACCUAUUUGCACCAAUCUCUCCUGAUGCAUAUCUGUAUUACAAGUAUCUAGUCAAUGUUCGAAAAAACCACAAACAUAUGCAGGUGUCCAGUUCACUACAUAAGCAGCUAUAUAUGCACGAUCCUAUCUGUGUAUAUACAACAAAAAUAUUUUCUCAUAUGGUACAACUGUACAAGAAUGUAAAAGUAAAAAAGGAAUACAUCCACUAAAUGGAGGUAGAAAAUUUUUAAAGACCUACUUUAACCAUCUAUAUUUGUAACAUAGAAAAAUUCACAAGUUUUCCAUGAAGCAAGUACAAGAAAUAAUCAGGAUACCAGAGUAUUCUCAUAAACAAGCCUGCAAAUAUUUGUAGAUAGAAUGUGAAAUCAAGAAUUCAAUUAGUGAAACAUCUAUACAUGUUUAAUCCAGCUUUAUCUAUCAAAAAUGUGUAGCUUCAUCGUGCACCCGUACCAUGACACACAGGCCUAACACUGCUAUCUAGGCAGAGCAAUCAAAAGAUGGCAUCUAGAUAUGCGGCAGCAUAUGCAGAUGCAUGCACCAAGACAAUAGAUGAUACUGAGAGAAGCGAAACAACAAUCAUGCAUGUAGUAUAGACCAUAUUAACACUAGUUACGGCACAGGCCAGGUGAAACCGCAUUUCUGUUGAAUGGUACAAUGAAGAUAUACUGUAUUCAUUUGCUGUUUCCUUUACACAUACAGAUAAAACGAUGGAGAACAGUAGGUGUGUCUUAUCGAGAAAGCUGGGUCUGAUUAUCAUUUCCUAGUUCCUGCGCAAUACUAUAUUCAGCACAGGAAAAUGAUAUUUAAAAAUAGUGCCAUAUGCCUUGAGUACAUGAAAAUAAACUUCCAUAUCAUGCAAGAAAUAUGUAGACUAGGUCAUUCGCUUGUUCAGCAGUAUCUCAUAUAUGUCAUGCUUCAACUAGAUUUUCACUAGUCUGCCAAAUCAAGAACAAAAAUUAUACAGAAGGGUGCAUAUUCUGAUACAGACCAACCAAAUGACAAACAUUUUAGCUACAACAAGUCCUGGACGAAGUUAAUCGAACUACGCACCUAUAUAGCAGUUGUGUAUCGUAGCGCAAAUGAUAAUUCUUCAGCAGCAGAUAAUGCAUUCAUAUUUUCACACAAAGCCGGUGCUUACCAUUACAUUUUUCCCAUUUUUAAGCACCAUACUGCACGUAAAGCAGAACCCCAAGGAAAAAGAGAAAAUUAAAUGCAACAAAAUUAGAGCAUGGUAUUGAGCUGCGCAACAAACACUCCAGCACAUUCUUUUUAACAAGCACAUUCAAAGCAAAAAUCUACCCAACAACUUUGAAUGUAGUAGCAUCGAUAACACUAUCAGAUGACUGGAUUUCCAUGACCAGAGUUACAUUUCAGUUAACAAGUUUAAACCUUUUCCCUCGAUAUGAACAGGACUACUUAUUCCUCCUAUAUUACAAAACUAGAAGAGAAAGACCUUUUUCCUGAACCCCGCUUUUCUUUUCUUUUCCUUUUUUUCUUUUUUUCCUUUACAGAGAUUAAGCGCCAUGAGCAGACGUAGAGAAGAGAACAAACCUUUCAUAAUAAGCAGCAUUCGGAGCUCGAUUCACCUCUAUCAUUUGAUUUGAAGAAACCCUAAAUAAACAAAAUUUCUAAGAGAAGAGAGAUAGAGAGUGUGUGUGUGUGUGAGAGAGAGAGACCUGACUCACACGAAGCCGCUCAAUUGCAUCUUCUGAAGCGUCUGUGCCAAGCCUGAAGCAUUCUUCGCGAUCUUCCCGUUCCGUGCCUCCGCGAGAUGGGGUAAGCAGAGAUCCAAAGCUCCCUCUUCGAUCGCUUCGGCGGCCAUUUCCUCGCUGUAGGAGCACACCAAGUUGAGAACGAGAAGGGCGUUCUCGACCCCUCGCGGGCUCCCUGCCCGGAGGACGCCGCACAAAACCCUAAUGAGGCGGCCGGCCCCCUUGUUCAUCUCCUGCCGACCUUCCUGGCACUUGGCGAUCAGCCCUAGCACCUCGACGGCCCGCUCGGAUCCGGCGGCGGCGAAGGCGACGAGCGGCGGCACGGCGCCGGCGCGGACGGCGCGGCGGCGGUUCUCCGGGAACUUGCAGAGCUCGUAGAGCGCGGUGGCGGCCUCGCGGCGCUCGCGGGGGGCGCCGGCGCCGCGGCGGAGGAGGAGCGCGGCGAGGCGGGGGAUGGCGGCGGGGUGGGCGCCGAUGGUGCACUUGUUGACCUCGACGACGGCGAGGCUGGUGAGGGUGGUGGCGGCGAGGGCGGCGGAGGGGGAGGCGAGGGCGGCGGCGAGCGCGUCGACGGCGCCCUCGGCGACGCGGCGGCGAGCGGCGGCGCCGCCGCGCUUGACGAGGCGGAGGAGUUGGGAGAGGGAGGCGGCGUCGGAGGGGAAGGAGAGGGAGGAGGCGAGGUCGAGCGCGCGAAACAACUGCUGCUGCUGUUGUAAUGAUUUGGCACCGUCAGCAUCGGGGGAAGGGGAAGGGGAAGGGACGAAGGUGGAGAUGAGGCGUCGGAGGGCGUGGUUGGGGAUGAGGAGUUGCUGCUGCUGCUGCUGCGGGUAAGAAGGAGGGUAAGAAGGAGGGUAAGAAGAAGGUAGUGGUGCGGGUGCUGCCGGGGUGUUGGUGAGGGGGCAGGUGCGGCUGCCGGAGUCGAGCCAGCGCUGGAUGGAGGGGCGGUCGUAGGUCUGGCCCGACCAGGUGAGGAUGACCGGAUCCCGCAUCACCUCCAGCGAUAUCGGGCACCGGAACUCCUCCGGCAAGUCCACUUCCAUCACUCUCCCCCUCCUCCUCCUCCUGCUGCUCUCCUUAAUCAAUUAAUUUCUCCUUCCAGAACGAAAGAGAGAAGGGAUUUUGUAUUUUUCCUUUCCGCAAAUUCCCUAUCGAUAGUUUUGGGUUUAGAAUUUUAGAUAGAGAGAGAGAGAUAGAGAGAGAGAGAGAGACUAUGGGCUAUGGCAUGGGUUGAGGUGGGGUGGGUUUUGGGGGAAGAAGGCGUGUGGGACUAUUGCUUGUUCCCUGUGCGCGUGUGUGUGUGUGUUUUGAAGUAGAGAGAGAACGAGAGGUGUUUGGGUGUGUGACGUGUUUUAUGCUGAGAGGAUAUGGGUGGAGGUGACCGUCCAGUGACCGUAAGAGACCUUUCACCCUCCGGGGGCAGCUUUGGAGUGUUUUUUUCUUUUUUUUUUUUUUUUUUGGGUUAAAUGCAUGCAUGUUUUUUUAAAUAUAGUAAAUUACAAAUGUGUUCUUCCAAUAUUCAAUUUUUAUAUAUUAUUUUUAAUUUUUUAUAAAAUUUUUAAAAUUUUCAAAUAUUUUUCUCUGAUUUAUUAUCAUUAUAGAAUUAUUUAUACUUUAAAUAAAUAUUAAUUUUGCCAUUACAAAUAUGUCCCUCCAAAAGCCACAAUAGUAUAAUGUAAGGGGCGUCAAAUUAUCUCAAAGUUAAGUAUUUAACAUGUGAUUAGCUAAAGUUUGCUAACGUAUUCUAACGGUAAGGAUAUAUUUGAAAAUAUUAGAAUUUUUGUAAAAAUAAUAUAUAAAAGUUAAAGUUU
rnacentral:lncRNA from 1 species